rnacentral:rRNA from 1 species
UACGUAGGUCGCAAGCGUUGUCCGGAAUUACUGGGCGUAAAGAGCUCGUAGGUGGUUUGUCGCGUUGUCCGUGAAAACUCACAACUCAAUUGUGGGCGUGCGGGCGAUACGGGCAGACUGGAGUACUGCAGGGGAGACUGGAAUUCCUGGUGUAGCGGUGAAAUGCGCAGAUAUCAGGAGGAACACCGGUGGCGAAGGCGGUUCUCUGGGAAUAUCCUGACGCUGAGGAGCGAAAGCCAGGGGAGCAAACGGG